rnacentral:snRNA from 1 species
UGAUGUGAGGGUGAUCUGGCUGUGACAUCUGUCACCCCAUUGAUCACAAAGGUUGACUUGGCUGAUCUAGCUGGCUAGGCAGAUGUCUUCCUCCCUCACUGCUCCACAUACACCCCUCUCAGAGGACAACCAUCCCCAAUAGAGGGUAUAAGAGUAGCUGUACUCCCUGCUAGAACCUCCAAACAAGCACUCAAAAAUGCAAGUGACAGCAGGCUCCUAAUUACUCAGCACUGGCUUGGUGAGUACAG